rnacentral:ncRNA from 16 species
GUCGUGCCACGGCCGUUUAAGCUAAGCACAGAGUAAAUCGAAAAGGCGCAGAGAUCUGCGCCUUUUUU